UGCCCCGUGGUCUAAUGGGUACGACACCAGUCCUCGAAGCUAGAGAUGCGAGUUCGAGUCCCGCCGGGGUGA